rnacentral:tRNA from 1 species
GGUGGCUCAGUGGUAGAGUGCUUGCCUUGCAUGCAUGAGGUCCUGGGUUUACUUCCUCAGCACCA